rnacentral:rRNA from 1 species
CUACGUGCCAGCAGCCGCGGUAAUACGGAAGGUCCAGGCGUUAUCCGGAUUUAUUGGGUUUAAAGGGAGCGUAGGCGGAUUAUUAAGUCAGUGGUGAAAGACGGUGGCUCAACCAUCGUUAGCCAUUGAAACUGGUAGUCUUGAGUGCAGACAGGGAUGCUGGAACUCGUGGUGUAGCGGUGAAAUGCUUAGAUAUCACGAUGAACUCCGAUCGCGAAGGCAGGUGUCCGGGCUGCAACUGACGCUGAGGCUCGAAAGUGUGGGUAUCAAACAGGAUUAGAUACCCUGGUAGUCCACACAGUAAACGAUGUAUACUCGCGGUUUGCGAUACAAUGUAAGCCGCCAAGCGAAAGCAUUAAGUAUACCACCUGGGGAGUACGCCGGCAACGGUGAAACUCAAAGGAAUUGACGGGGGCCCGCACAAGCGGAGGAACAUGUGGUUUAAUUCGAUGAUACGCGAGGAACCUUACCCGGGAUUGAA